UUAAACUUGCCCAGGCUCCACAAAAAUUCUGGUUCCGCCACUGCUUAUACACUUAUAUCUUCUUCCUCCCUUUCUCCUUCUCAUCUUCCCGUUCUCCCCCUCAUCCUCUCUUCCCCUUCUUUUUUCCUCUUCUUAUACUGUUCUUCAAACCCGAUUCUUCUUCUUCCUCAUUUUCGCCCCCAACCGAUCCAAAACCCUAACUUUCGCCCCCUACCGAUCAAAAACCCUCAUUUUUCUCCAAAACCGAGCAAGAAGCACCUGGAUCGGAGAUUUUUAAAACGAUUUGAUGCAUGCAAGGCUCGUUGCUAUCCAAGCAACGAUUUUUUCACCAAAAUCCGAGGGAAGAAGCACCUGGAUCGGACAUUUAAGGCUCUGAGAUCAUCUCCCUGUCAACCAAACUGGACGUGCAAGCCAACCUCUGAAGAUGGAUUUUUUUUUCAUGUAAAUAUCAAUAUUCAGUGUAAAAGAACGAUUUUUUACUGUAAAGUUUGAUUUUUUUAUGUAAAGUUUGGAUUUUUAUUAAUACUGCUAUAAGAUGUAUGCUAAAUGCUAACCUCUUUAAUGCUCA